GGAGGAGUAUCGAAGUGGUUGUAACGAGACCGAUUCGAAAUCGGUUGAUGAGUAAUGCUUGUCCGUGGGUUCGAAUCCCAUCUCCUCCGCCA
rnacentral:tRNA from 1 species